rnacentral:rRNA from 1 species
GAUGAACGCUGGCGGCGUGCCUAAUACAUGCAAGUCGAGCGAACAGACGAGGAGCUUGCUCCUCUGACGUUAGCGGCGGACGGGUGAGUAACACGUGGAUAACCUACCUAUAAGACUGGGAUAACUUCGGGAAACCGGAGCUAAUACCGGAUAAUAUAUUGAACCGCAUGGUUCAAUAGUGAAAGACGGUUUUGCUGUCACUUAUAGAUGGAUCCGCUCCGCAUUAGCUAGUUGGUAAGGUAACGGCUUACCAAGGCAACUAUGCGUAGCCGACCUGAGAGGGUGAUCGGCAACACUGGAACUGAGACACGGUCCAGACUCCUACGGGAGGCAGCAGUAGGGAAUCUUCCGCAAUGGGCGAAAGCCUGACGGAGCAACGCCGCGUGAGUGAUGAAGGUCUUCGGAUCGUAAAACUCUGUUAUUAGGGAAGAACAAAUGUGUAAGUAACUAUGCACGUCUUGACGGUACCUAAUCAGAAAGCCACGGCUAACUACGUG